rnacentral:rRNA from 1 species
GUGGCGAGUGGCGAACGGGUGAGUAAUACAUCGGAACGUACCCAGAAGUGGGGGAUAACGUAGCGAAAGUUGCGCUAAUACCGCAUACGUUCUACGGAAGAAAGUGGGGGAUCGCAAGACCUCAUGCUUUUGGAGCGGCCGAUGUCUGAUUAGCUAGUUGGUGAGGUAAAGGCUCACCAAGGCGACGAUCAGUAGCUGGUCUGAGAGGACGACCAGCCACACUGGAACUGAGACACGGUCCAGACUCCUACGGGAGGCAGCAGUGGGGAAUUUUGGACAAUGGGCGCAAGCCUGAUCCAGCAAUGCCGCGUGAGUGAAGAAGGCCUUCGGGUUGUAAAGCUCUUUUGUCAGGGAAGAAACGGCAGGGGCUAAUAUCCUUUGCUAAUGACGGUACCUGAAGAAUAAGCACCGGCUA